ensembl:lncRNA
UGGAAGGUUUCGAAAGGGUUCCGACCGCCGCGGAAACGAUGAGUGCAUGGAGAGAUGGAGGGAUGAUCCGAGGACUGGCUUACCCACGGCUAGGUCCAGCAGGUCCGCGCACAAGAGCAAGCACAAAGAGAAGACGGUCAUCUUUCCUUUAUUUCGCAAUAAAUCCCAAACUCCAUCUGCGUUCACAUGCUCUCCGCUCUGGGGCUGCGUAAUCCCCACCAUGCCAAAGGGAUGCGACCGACAGAGGCUCUCCAACUAUUCAUGGUGCAGUUCAAGAGCGAGUGGAAAACGGGUGAAGUUGGCCGAGAUGACACCGUGGAGAGCGACGUAGUCGAACAUGAGACCUGAACGGACGCGGAGGAGUUCUCUAAAAACCGUAUCAGACCAGUGGAUCUGCAGUUCAGACCAGAGGAUCUGCGGUUCAGACCAUUGGAUGUGCGGUUCAGCCCAGUUGAUCUGCGGUUCAGGUCAGUGGAUGUGCGGUUCAGCCGGGAAGCCGAGGAGUCGAAAGCGGAUGGAAUGAAAAUCUGCUCCUCAGUCAGAGCCUUCACAGACAACAACCUCUUUAGGAGCAAACGGAGACUAGUUCAGAGCCUUGCCUGCAAGUCCUCAUUUCUUUGGAAGGCUACUGAGUACUGACCAAUCCUGCAGAGUUGGCGGAGGCGGAAUGAAACGCCGUCACCUUCAGAAAGGAUCCCGCCGCUGAUAAAGGCAAUCGAGUCAGAGCCGCCCACAGGGCUGGUGACCUAUAGCACGCCUAGAAUAGAAGGCCGGGCUGAAGUCGUCUCUGGGACACCAAGUCAUUCCUCAGACCCAUCACAGAAACCUGGAGCUAGAAGACUAUUUCCUGACUCCUUUCUCAUCCGUUGUGUUUUCCUUGUUAGAAACACCUCAAGGAGGACAGUUACUGCC